UGCAGAUGCACAUUCUCCCCACACUGCAGGUGACACCAGCUCCCAGGACACCUGUGCAGUAGGACCCCUACAACUCCCACCAGGAAGGUGUUAGGGGAAGAUGGAAAGGUCUACGUGCAGGCUCAAAGGCAGAGAGAGACUCAGAGUGGGAAACAGCUGCAGGCUGCCAAGUCACCCAGACAGCCUGCCCUCCAAGAUAUCUCCUCUGUACAGGCCUGUCGGAAGCCAUGCUCUACACAGCCAGACUCCAGAAUGGAGCAAGUUCAGGACCACCGGUGGAGGUCAAGAAAAAGGAGAAAAGGCAAGGUCCCUAUGUCCCUCCCAUCCCCAUUCCAACCACUGAUAGUCACUUUCA
rnacentral:lncRNA from 1 species